UCGGGAAUUUUGGGCAAUGGGCGAAAGCCUGACCCAGCAACGCCGCGUGAAGGAUGAAGUAUUUCGGUAUGUAAACUUCGAAAGAAUAGGAAGAAUAAAUGACGGUACCAUUUAUAAGGUCCGGCUAACUACGUGCCAGCAGCCGCGGUAAUACGUAGGGACCAAGCGUUGUUCGGAUUUACUGGGCGUAAAGGGCGCGUAGGCGGCUCUUCAAGUCAGCCGUGAAAUCUCCGGGCUUAACCUGGAAGGGUCGGUUGAUACUGUCGAGCUAGAGUGUAGAAGAGGCAACUGGAAUUCCGUGUGUAGCGGUGAAAUGCGUAGAUAUACGGAGGAACACCUGCGGCGAAGGCGGGUUGCUGGGCUAACACUGACGCUGAGGCGCGAAAGCUAGGGUAGCAAACGGGAUUAGAUACCCGAGUAGUCCCUGAGCGGGCUGGCAAGGCGCAU
rnacentral:rRNA from 1 species